CAGCAGCCGCGGGAAUACGAAGGGUGCAAGCGUUACUCGGAAUUACUGGGCGUAAAGCGUGCGUAGGUGGUGGUUUAAGUCCGUUGUGAAAGCCCUGGGCUCAACCUGGGAAUUGCAGUGGAUACUGGGCGACUAGAGUAAGGUAGAGGAUAGUGGAAUUUCCGGUGUAGCAGUGAAAUGCGUAGAGAUCGGAAGGAACAUCUGUGGCGAAGGCGACUAUCUGGGCCAACACUGACACUGAGGCGCGAAAGCGUGGGGAGCAAACAGGAUUAGAUACCCCGGUAGUCCCUGUCUCUUAUAC
rnacentral:rRNA from 1 species